UACGUAGGUGACAAGCGUUGUCCGGAUUUUACUGGGCGUAAAGAGCGCGCAGGCGGUCGUUCAAGUCGAGUGUGAAAGCCCCCGGCUCAACUGGGGAGGGUCAUUCGAUACUGAUCGACUCGAAGGCAGGAGAGGGAAGUGGAAUUCCCGGUGUAGUGGUGAAAUGCGCAGAUAUCAGGAGGAACACCAAUUGCGAAGGCAGCUCGCUGGGACGUUACUGACGCUGAGACGCGAAAAGCGUGGGGGAGCGAACAGG
rnacentral:rRNA from 1 species